UACGUAGGGGGCAAGCGUUGUCCGGAUUUAUUGGGCGUAAAGAGCGUGUAGGCGGUUUGGUAGGUCCGCUGUGAAAACUCGAGGCUCAACCUCGAGACGCCGGUGGAAACCAUCAGGCUAGAGUCCGGAAGAGGAGAGUGGAAUUCCUGGUGUAGCGGUGAAAUGCGCAGAUAUCAGGAAGAACACCCGUGGCUAAGGCGGCUCUCUAGUACGGUACUGACGCUGAGACGCGAAAGCGUGGGGAGCGAAC
rnacentral:rRNA from 1 species